rnacentral:lncRNA from 1 species
AAAAAGCUUUGUUUUUUACCCAGGGGGCCUUUUCUUUCACCCACUUCAACCCCUUUGCUUCCCCUAUAAAUAGAGCACUAUCCCCACUCAUUUUUCAAGCUUGAAAGCCACAAAACCUCUCUCCAAAUCACAUUCAAGCUCCCUCUUUUCAACCUAAACCCUGACUCACCCAAACUCUCUUUUCUCCUUUGAACCACCCAACCACCAUGUAAAAAAUCCAUCAUUU